ACAGUGUGUUCUGGGGACAGGCAGCUCGUGGAUAGUGAGGAGAUGUUUGCUGUAUGUGACAAAAAAUCUUGUAGCCUAAAACACACGUGACAUCGCUUACAGCACCUUUAAAGGUUAACAAAUCAUUUGG